GAUAGCUCAGUCGGUAGAGCAGAGGAUUGAAAAUCCUCGUGUCGGUGGUUCGAUUCCGCCUC
rnacentral:tRNA from 6 species